rnacentral:rRNA from 1 species
CAAAGUACCGUGAGGGAAAGUUGAAAAGAACUUUGAAGAGAGAGUUCAAUAGUACGUGAAACCGUUCAGGGGUAAACCUGAGAAACCCAAAAGAUCGAAUGGGGAGAUUCAUCGUCAGCUGCUUUGGGUUCCGUGUGGUGCGCGAUGAUCGGGGCCUCGUGCUCUGCGUCACGCGCCCUCUGCGGUAUGUCCGAAGUAGUCGGCGUGCACUUCUCCCCUAGUAGGACGUCGCGACCCGUUGGGUGCUGGUCUACGGCCCGGUAGGUCGACUGGCGAGUCUCGUUUACGCGUGUACUCGUCAGACCUCUGGAUGCCCGACCGGCUGCCCGGCGGUAUAGAACGAUAAUUAAACGGUAUUGGGCCGCAUCAAGUGCGUUCAGGCUCGUCGGCAGGCUCGUCUCGCUCGGAUUUACGGACCUAGCGCCGUUGCCGAGCGCUUGGCGUGGCUGUUGGUCGACGAUGUCCUCGGACUGGCUCUUUAUAUUCGAAUGGAUAUACCGGUCGGCGACGCUACUGCUUUGGGUACUUUCAGGACCCGUCUUGAAACACGGACCAAGGAGUCUAACAUGUGCGCGAGUCAUUGGGUCAAUUAAAGCCUAAAGGCGCAAUGAAAGUGAAAGUCGUCCUUUGCGUCGACCGAGGGAGGAUGGCUCGCGUUACGAUGCGAGCCCGCACUCCCGGGGCGUCUCGUGCUCAUGCGAGC